rnacentral:rRNA from 1 species
ACAGCUCACAGUGCUUGUCGAGCGGUAAGCCCUUCGGGGUACCGACAGGCGAACGGAUGAGUAACACGUGCGUGAUCUGCCUCGUACUCUGGGAUAAGCAUGGGAAACUGGGUCUAAUACCGGAUAUGACCACCAAUCGCAGGGUUUGUGGUGGAAAGAUUUAUCGGUGCUAGAUGGGCCCGCGGCCUAUCAUCUUGUUGGUGGGGUAAUGGCCUACCAAGGCGACAACAGGUAGCCGGCCUGAAAGGGCGACCGGCCACACUGGGACUGAAACACGGCCCACACUCCUACGGGAGGCAGCAGUGGGGAAUAUUGCACAAUGGGCGGAAGCCUGAUGCAGCGACACCGCGUGAGGGAUGACGGCCUUCGGGUUGUAAACCUCUUUCGACAGGGACAAAGCGCCGUGACGGUACCUGUAGAAGAAGCACCGGCCAACUACGUGCAARCAGCCGCGUUAAUACGUAGGGUGCGAGCGUUGUCCGUAAUUACUGGGCGUAAAGAGCUUGUAUGCGGYUCGUCGUUUCGAUCGUGAAAACUUGCAGCUCAACUGKGAGCUUGCGGAUCKAUACGGGCGGACUAGAGUAUUGCAGGGGGAGACUGGAAUUCCUGGUGUAGCGGUGAAAUGUGCAGAUAUCAGGAGGAACACCGGUGGCGAAGGGGGGUCUCUGGGCAGUAACUGACCCUGAGAAGCGAAACCGUGGGUAGCGAACAGGAUUAGAUACCCUGUUAAUCCACGCCGUAAACGGUGGGCGCUAUGUGUGGGUUUCUUUCCACGGAAUCCGUGCCGUAGCUAACCCAUUAAGCGCCCCUCGCCUGGGGAGUACGGCCSCCAGGCUAAAACUCAAAGGAAUUGACAGGGGCCCGCACAACACGGGGGGAGCCUGUGUUAUUAAUYAAAUGCAACGGGACAGAACCUUACCUUGGGUUUGACAUACACCCAGAAAGCUGCAGAGAUGUAGCCCCCCUUGUGGUUGGUGUACAGGUGGUGCAUGGGUGUCGUCAGCUCGUGUCGUUAGAUUUUUGGGUUAGUCCCGCAACGAGCGCAACCCUUGUCUCCUUUUUCCAGCGCGUUAUGGCGGGGACUCUCAGGAGACUGCCGGGGUCAAAUCGGAGGAAGGUGGGGGGGAGGUCAAAUCAUCAUGCCCCUUAUGUCCAGGGGUUCACACAUGUUACAAUGGCCGGUACAGAGGGGUGCGAUACCGCGAGGGGGAGCGAAUCCCUCAAAGCCGGUCUCAGUUUGGAUAGGGGUCUGCAACUCGCCCCCGUGAAGUUGGAGUAGCUAGUAAUCGCGGAUCAGCAACGCUCGGGGGAAUACGUUCCCGGGCUUUGUACCCCCCCCCCGGUCACUCCUAAAAUCGGUUACACCCUGACCCGGUACAGUAACCCCUAAGGAAGGAGC